rnacentral:rRNA from 1 species
UACGUAGGGGGCAAGCGUUGUUCGGAAUUACUGGGCGUAAAGGGCGCGUAGGCGGCAUGGCAAGUCAGGAGUGAAAGGCCUGGCUCAACCGAGGAACUGCUUUUGAUACUGCCAAGCUAGAGUGCGGAAGGGGCAACUGGAAUUCCCAGUGUAGCGAUGAAAUUCGUAGAUAUUGGGAAGAACACCGGUGGCGAAGGCGGCUCACUGGCUCAUUUCUGACGCUCAGGCGCGACAGCGUGGGGAGCAAACAGG